ACGAUGGUGGUCGAAGCAGGAGAGGAAAACACUUUCAAAUGACAAUUCUGGAGAGGAUGGGCCUGCAGGGGAAAGUCACCCCCUUGUAGGCCAGGAGACAUGAGAUAACUUUAAAGAAUACAAAGAUUGCAAGUAUCCAGGCUCAGGAGAGGGGGUCAGUGGA